AGGACGAACGCUGGCGGCGUGCUUAACACAUGCAAGUCGAGCGGAAAGGCCCUUUCGGGGGUACUCGAGCGGCGAACGGGUGAGUAACACGUGAGUAACCUGCCCUGGACUUUGGGAUAACCCUCGGAAACGGGGGCUAAUACCGGAUAUGACACGUUCUCGCAUGGGGGUGUGUGGAAAGUUUUUCGGCUGGGAUGGGCUCGCGGCCUAUCAGCUUGUUGGUGGGUGAUGGCCUACAAGGCGACGACGGGUA
rnacentral:rRNA from 1 species